rnacentral:rRNA from 1 species
AACGAACGCUGGCGGCAGGCUUAACACAUGCAAGUCGAACGCCCCGCAAGGGGAGUGGCAGACGGGUGAGUAACGCGUGGGAACGUGCCCUUCGCUUCGGAAUAUUCCCGGGAAACUGGGAGCAAUGCCGGAUACGCCGAAUUGGGAAAGACUUAUCGGCAAAGGAUCGGCCCGCAUUGGAUUAGCUAGUUGGUGGGGUAAUGGCCUACCAAGGCGACGAUCCAUAGCUGGUCUGAGAGGAUGAUCAGCCACAUUGGGACUGAGACACGGCCCAAACUCCUACGGGAGGCAGCAGUGGGGAAUAUUGGACAAUGGGCGAAAGCCUGACGCAGCCAUGCCGCGUGAAUGAUGAAGGUCUUAGGAUUGUAAAAUUCUUUCACCGGGGACGAUAAUGACGGUACCCGGAGAAGAAGCCCCGGCUAACUUCGUGCCAGCAGCCGCGGUAACAC